GAAGAUGCAGAAUCACGCACAUACUGACAAGAGACACCAUAUCUAGCCAGGAAAUAGGAGGGACAUUCAUCUGUUACUGUGAAUCCUGAGAAGAAAAAAAUAACUUGAUAAAGGAAAGGGAUUUAAACAAAGAUCAUACUUAACCUUGAGAGGAUAUGAAGGAAUUAGAACUACUUGGGGUGAAAACAGUUUUGGAGAAUGGAAAACUGGGGAUCAUCAUCCGUUGUAGAAGAACCUGAAUUUUACCCACAACCAGAGGAGCUAGACUG